CUCAACUCCAGUUCAAGGGAAGGCUGCCUCCAUUAGGAUUUAAUGGAAAAGACUUGAGCUGCGAUUCUCACUUCAAACCAAGGAUUCAAAUCGGAGUUUGAUGGGGAAAAGGUUGAAACAACAGAGAAAAACAUGAAAAGCCAUAUUAAAUAACAGAAAGAUGACAUUCUCGAUGCAGCCUGUCACUCAAGGAAAUACCACACAUAGAAGAAUACCCAAGAUUAAAUGGACCAGCAGAACAACAAAUGAAGUACUUUGAGAAGCAAAAACACAUAAGCAAAUAAUACAGACAAUCAAAAGACGUAAACUGGCGUAUUAUGGACAUAUCCUCAGUGGAGUAAAUUAUCAAAUACCACAACUAAUGCUAGAAGGAAAGCUAGCAGGGGAAAAGAUCAAGAGGAAAGAGGAAGAAAGGAUGAAUGGGUGACCUGAAAGAAUGGCUAGAACUGGACACAGAAGAUAUCCACAAGUCUAGGGAACAUGAUCGAUGGUUUUUGCUGGCUGUCAACCCCCCAACUGGCAAAGGAGGAGAGAACCCCUUUGGCCUUCCAGCAGAGAAAAUCAUCAUCAUCAUCGUCAUCAUCAUCCCCCAGUGAGGCACUACCUUCGCGUGGUUGUGGGACUUGCGUGCUCUGAGGAAGGAAAACAUGCUUGCAAAUAGAAAAGAGAGAAGUAACAGUAACUACGACAAUAACAUCAGUACUAAAUUCCCUAGUUUCACCCUCAAAAGGUUUACAACUUUAAGACAAUUUAAUGUAAGCUACUAUGCAUUAUCAAAAUAAAUGUCUAUCAUAUAUA